rnacentral:rRNA from 1 species
AUGUGUAUUUACUUUUAUUAUUUGAAACUGAAAAUUUUGAAUUUCAAAUGUUUCAAAAUAAAGACUUCAAUGAAGUUCGGUCUUCAAAAUGACCUACUCAAGAAGGACCAAAUUCAAACACCAGCUAGUCAGCAACCCGAAACAGUUACUGGUACAAGAUACAUGCUGCACUACAACAGAAAAGAAAUAAGAACGCAAAGAGACGGGCAGAACGAUGCAGUAAAGUACAGAUUUUCCAUAGCUUUGCCGCCCAUCCACCCUCGCACUGCACUUUAUGCCGAAGAACACGUGCCCAAGUUUGGUUUACAGUGA